rnacentral:misc_RNA from 1 species
UCAAAGCAUCAAGCUUGGCUUGUCGUUGGGCAGUUUAUCACCUGGUGAUAGGUCCAAAAGAUAAUGAGCGGUGUCGUAAGGACUCUAUAUGCAACAAGCUUCUGACAGCACGCAUCUAGUGGUCGUAUGGCCCGGUCUACCCCUUUAUUUCUCAA